AGUUGAUCCUGGCUCAGGAUGAACGCUAGCGGCAGGCCUAGCACAUGCAAGUCGAACGAGAUUAAGAGGCUUGCUUCUUAUGAAAGUGGCGCACGGGUGCGUAACGCGUAUGCAACCUACCUUAAUCAGGGGGAUAGCCCGAAGAAAUUCGGAUUAAGACCGCAUAAAAACACAGGAUAGCAUUAUCCAAUGUUCAAAUAUUUAUAGGAUUAAGAUGGGCAUGCGUGUCAUUAGCUAGUUGGCGGGGUAACGGCCCACCAAGGCGACGAUGACUAGGGGAUCUGAGAGGAUGACCCCCCACACUGGUACUGAGACACGGACCAGACUCCUACGGGAGGCAGCAGUAAGGAAUAUUGGUCAAUGGAGGGAACUCUGAACCAGCCAUGCCGCGUGCAGGAAGACAGCCCUCUGGGUCGUAAACUGCUUUUAUUCGGGAAUAAACCUUUCUACGUGUAGGAAGCUGAAUGUACCGAAGGAAUAAGGAUCGGCUAACUCCGUGCCAGCAGCCGCGGUAAUACAGGAUCCAAGCGUUAUCCGGAUUUAUUGGGUUUAAAGGGUGCGUAGGCGGCUUAUUAAGUCAGGGGUGAAAGACGGUGGCUCAACCAUCGCAGUGCCCUUGAUACUGAUGAGCUUGAAUACACUAGAGGUAGGCGGAGCGUGACAAGUAGCGGUGAAAUGCAUAGAUAUGUCACAGAACACCGAUUGCGAAGGCAGCUCACUAUGGUGUUAUUGACGCUGAGGCACGAAAGCGUGGGGAUCAAACAGGAUUAGAUACCCUGGUAGUCCACGCCCUAAACGAUGAAUACUCGCUGUUAGCGAUAGUGUAGUUAGCGAGCGAAAGCGUUAAGUAUUCCACCUGGGGAGUACGCCCGCAAGGGUGAAACUCAAAGGAAUUGACGGACUCCCGCACAAGCGGAGGAGCAUGUGGUUUAAUUCGAUGAUACGCGAGGAACCUUACCAUGGCUUGAAAGUUAGUGAAUGAUCUAGAGAUAGAUCAGUGAGCAAUCACACGAACGAUGGUGCUGCAUGGCUGUCCCCAGCUCGGUGAGGUGUUGGGUUAAGUCCCGCAGAUAGCGCAACCCCUAUGUUUAGUUGCCAGCACGUUAAGGUGGGGACUCUAAACAGACUGCCUGUGCAAACAGAGAGGAAGGCUUACGACGUCAAGUCAUCAUGGCCCUUACGUCCGGGGCUACACACGUGCUACAAUGGAUGGUACAGAGGGCAGCAAGCUGGCAACAGCAAGCGAAUCUCAAAAAGCCAUUCACAGUUCGGAUAGAGGUCUGCAACUCGACCUCUUGAAGUUGGAUUCGCUAGUAAUCGCGUAUCAGCAAUGACGCGGUGAAUACGUUCCCGGGCCUUGUACACACCGCCCGUCAAGCCAUGGAAGUUGGGGGUACCUAAAGUAUGUAACCGUAAGGAGCGUCCUAGGGUAAAACCGAUAACUGGGGCUAAGUCGUAACAAGAGA
rnacentral:rRNA from 1 species